AUGGUGAGUGACAAUCUUGGUAUGAUCUCCAAUGCUCAUGUUGUUCAUGCUGAUCUUAGUGAUUUUGGAGCUAUGGAUGAGAAGUGCAUUCACUUAGCUGAACUAGCAGCAACUGCUGUAGACUUCCCCAAAACAGGCAAAUUUGUGGCGAUGCCAUCGUAUCUUCGACCAAAAAUCUACCCUGACUUUCUGUUAAAGGAAGAUUCAAAAUCAUAUAAAUCCGAGAAGAUUCUUGGAAGACUUUAUCGCUCAAUCCAAGAAGAUUCCAGUGGUAAUUGGGAUUCUGACGAAGCUUGGACCCUACAUGAUCUGCCUUAUGACAAUGAUCUAGAAGUUGCCGGUGCAUCAGAUUUCCUUGCGAGUGCAUGGCAGUGCAAGUGCUCAUAUGAUAGGCAGCUGAACUCACUGCUUAAUCAAUACGGCGUUCGCACCGAAGCUGAACUUGUGACAGGGCACAUCUGGUCCCUUCCCAGGAACAACAGCAGAAAGCUAGUGGAUGUAAAGGACAGGGUCAAGAAUGCGUACAAUGCGUUCCAGAAGGAGUAUCGGUCUGUCUUUGAAAGCCUUACAUCAGAUGAGGUUGAGAUCUCCGAUGACGAUGUGAAGAAUCUGUUCUACGAAAUGAAGGCCUCUGCGUGGUACCAGGUAACGUAUCACCCCAAAUGGACUGAGAAGUCAAGGGCCUUAUUGGAUCCAGAUGAUGAAGAAGGAAUGCCGGUGAGGCUUAGCUUUGCAUGGAUCACGGUCGAUUACUUGGUGCGGAUAAUGCUAAGGUGCCAUGGAGAAAUGGAAGUUGGAGGACGAAGGCCAGCUGGAAGGCUGGCGGCCUACAUUUCUGAGAGAAUAUGA
rnacentral:rRNA from 1 species